GAUGAACGCUGGCGGCGUGCCUAAUACAUGCAAGUCGAGCGAACAGACGAGGAGCUUGCUCCUCUGACGUUAGCGGCGGACGGGUGAGUAACACGUGGAUAACCUACCUAUAAGACUGGGAUAACUUCGGGAAACCGGAGCUAAUACCGGAUAAUAUAUUGAACCGCAUGGUUCAAUAGUGAAAGACGGUUUUGCUGUCACUUAUAGAUGGGUCCGCGCCGCAUUAGCUAGUUGGUAAGGUAACGGCUUACCAAGGCAACGAUGCGUAGCCGACCUGAGAGGGUGAUCGGCCACACUGGAACUGAGACACGGCCCAGACUCCUACGGGAGGCAGCAGUAGGGAAUCUUCCGCAAUGGGCGAAAGCCUGACGGAGCAACGCCGCGCGAGUGAUGAAGGUCUUCGGAUCGUAAAACUCUGUUAUUAGGGAAGAACAAAUGUGUAAGUAACUAUGCACGUCUUGACGGUACCUAAUCAGAAAGCCACGGCUAACUACGUG
rnacentral:rRNA from 1 species